ensembl:lncRNA
GUUCCAUGAGCACCACCUCUGAGCACCAUCCUGAAGCCUGCAAGACUGCCUUGGUGAAUAUUUGCUGAAGGGAUGAGGCUCUGCUAGCCCCCAAUGGAACACACGAUGCUGUAUCUCGCUGGUCAGGGGGAGGCUGCUUAGCUCCUCCACAUCCCAUCUCAAAUGCCUAGAGGAAGCAAAUGGAAUUGAAAAUGCUUUAUUUGAAACUGAGCUGAACACCAUCGUCGCUCUUGAUUGCUCUCAUUCCUGUUCAUCAUCUACCUGGAGACCUCUAGAGAAGGUGCAGGCCAUGCCAACUUCCUUGCUGAAGCUGUUCGCUGUUAUUGACCUGAAUAAUCCCCUCCACAGCUGCAGCCUGAGAUAUCAUUAUAUACACAGAAUGAAGAUCAAAUUCAGUCUUGGUACAUCCUGAGGGGAUAUGUUUCAAA